AUUGAACGCUGGCGGCAGUCUUAACACAUGCAAGUCGACCGAGUGGCGGACGGGUUAGUAAUGUCUGGGAAACUUCCUGAUGGAUGGGGAUAACUACUGGCAACGGUAGCUAAUACCUCAUACCAUCCGCUUUACCCAUAUGGUAUUAGCUAGUAGGUGGGGUAAUGGCUCACCUAGGCGACGAUCCCUAGCUGGUCUGAGAGGAUGACCAGUCACACUGGAAGUGAGACACGGUCCAGACUCCUACGGGAGGCAGCAGUGGGGAAUAUUGCACAAUGGGCGCAAGCCUGAUGCAGCCAUGCCGCGUGUAUGAAGAAGGCCUUCGGGUUGUAAAGUACUUUCAGCGGGGAGGCGUUACCCGCAGAAGAAGCACCGGCUAACUCCGUGCCAGCAGCCGCGGUAAUUC
rnacentral:rRNA from 1 species